AUUGAACGCUGGCGGCAGGCCUAACACAUGCAAGUCGAGCGGAAACGAGAAUAGCUUGCUAUACGGCGUCGAGCGGCGGACGGGUGAGUAAUGCCUAGGAAAUUGCCCUGAUGUGGGGGAUAACCAUUGGAAACGAUGGCUAAUACCGCAUAAUGCCUUCGGGCCAAAGAGGGGGACCUUCGGGCCUCUCGCGUCAGGAUAUGCCUAGGUGGGAUUAGCUAGUUGGUGAGGUAAAGGCUCACCAAGGCGACGAUCCCUAGCUGGUCUGAGAGGAUGAUCAGCCACACUGGAACUGAGACACGGUCCAGACUCCUACGGGAGGCAGCAGUGGGGAAUAUUGCACAAUGGGCGCAAGCCUGAUGCAGCCAUGCCGCGUGUGUGAAGAAGGCCUUCGGGUUGUAAAGCACUUUCAGUCGUGAGGAAGGCGGUACGGUUAAUAGCUGUAUUGUUUGACGUUAGCGACAGAAGAAGCACCGGCUAACUCCGUGCCAGCAGCCGCGGUAAUACGGAGGGUGCGAGCGUUAAUCGGAAUUACUGGGCGUAAAGCGCAUGCAGGUGGUUUGUUAAGUCAGGUGUGAAAGCCCGGGGCUCAACCUCGGAACCGCAUUUGAAACUGGCAGGCUAGAGUACUGUAGAGGGGGGUAGAAUUUCA
rnacentral:rRNA from 1 species